rnacentral:lncRNA from 1 species
UCUGGCCAGCAUGUGGGGAUGAGAGGAUCCCUGAGCCAGUCAGGUCUCUGCUUCUCUGGGGGCACAGCGUGGAUGAUGGCCUGUAGGGCCCCAGGUGUGCAGGUGGUGAGCUUAGGUGGCAGCAGCUCAUCGGAGCACCUGGACACAUUGGGGAAGGACAAGGUGGUGGUCUUCCUGAAGGGGAUGCCAGAGCAGCCCCAGUGCCGCUUCAGCAAUGCCAUGGAACAGAUCCCACAACCUACAAUGUGCUAGACAACCCCCAGCUCCCACAAGGCAUUAAAGACUAUUCCAACCAGCCCCCCAUCCCACAAGUGUACCUCAACUGCAAGUUCAUGGGGGAGGUGGUGACAUUCUUCUGCAGAUGCACCAGAACCAGGGAGCUGAUGGAAGAACUGAAAAAGCUGGGGAUCUGCUCUGCCCUCUUAGAUGAAACAGAAGACCAGGACUCAAAGUGA